ensembl:lncRNA
CUCGAGUGUCUCAGUGUUGUUUAUUCACCUGACUGUUUGUUAACUGUAAAUCUCUGACAAUUAAUUUGUCCUUCGAAGCCGUUUAUGGACUGGUAUUAAUAAUAAUAUUAUGCUCCAUUUCACACAGUAUCCUUCCUCAAGUCCCGAUGCCGUGACAAACCUGCGUUGAAGCCUCUGCAGAGCACCCUCCAGGAAGGGUUGAAAGUCCAGGGACGUUAAAAUUCGGGUCCUGGCCAACGUCUUAUACAGGCCCACGGCGGUGGGGCUUGAAGGAGGACGCCCGACAGACCGGCAACAGCGAAGCCAGUAUCUUGCAGGUUGCAACCAGGUGAUUGGAUCCUGAUUAAAGUGCUCCAGAGGAAAAAUUGGAGUUCACCGAGGUGGGAAGGCCCGUACCAGGUCCUGCUCACAACACCAACCGCCUGCAAAAUAGCAGAAAGACCAUCUUGGAUCCACCAAAGCCACUGCAAAAAAGUGAGUGACAACACAAGCAUAGACGCCGGUUCCCCCGACUCCUAGGUGUUCUCCUGGUGGAGGAAAGGGUUGUUUGGGUAUAUCCCGCCCUUUUGUCUUCUCGCCAGUGGUCUACUCACCUGGAGCCCGGGUGUGCCUGGUCAUCAUGAAGAAACUUGUCCUCAUAGUGGCUGGAUACUCACCUGGAAAGACGAGGACCCACAGCAUCGCCUGCAAAAGAAAUGGUCAUAUGACAACUUACACCUAAAGGAUAUGGACAAAGAGCACAACCACCCCUGGCUGAACAAUGCCGGGUACCGGUACGUCUACAACCGAGUACAUACAGAAGACAACCACACUGGCUGCUACGUCUGUUCUCACCUCCCAACAACAGCAAUGCAAGCCACCCUAUAUGGAAAAUCACCCAGCCUUUCCGAAGCCCUAUGUAUAUUCUACAAAGCCACCAGCAGAACAUGUUCCCCCGAAGACAUCUUCUUCUUCAAGGUUGAGUUAAAGAGACAAGUCACAAAACCCGACCUGCCACGGUGUAAUGGAACACUGAUCAACUAUACAACUAAUGAGGUAGUGUUCUGUACACCAGAGGUCUCAGACUGGAACUACAGCUGUGAUGACCGAUACUGGGUACACCUGAAUGCAACCAAUGACAAGGGAAAAUCUUUCAAUGUCAGGAGGGAACCAGGAAUACAACAUCCAAUGUGUUUCACCUUCGCAUACGGCAACAGAAAGCUGGGAAUGAACCACAACUGCUCCCAGACUUUCCGAAUGCCGCAGGACAGAAAGGCACGGAUAAGCUUCCUGAAUGGCACAUAUUGGGUGCAGGGUACAGCAUGGGCAUGUGGCUCAAAGACAUACUUCACCAUCCCACCCAACAGCACCGGACUCUGCGCCCCAAUUUUAGUGUCAGACCACACAUUCAGAGUAUUCCAUCAGGACCAACCAAGACGCAGGAGGAGCACUGAUGACGUGCAACCGCAUGACCCAAUCUGGGGCAGUGAUGUACCAGCGGAGUUCAAGUUGUGGACCACCAGACAGAAGGUCCUACACUAACUGUUCCCAUGGAUCGGGAAUGGAAAAAACAUGCUAAGAAUUGAGACUCUUGACUACCAAUUUGGACUUUUCCUGAACAGCUCAACAAGGAUAAACAAGGCUCAGAAUGGGGAAAUCGACGCGAUCAGAAUAGUGGUUAUGCAACACAGAGUCGCCCUGGACAUGAUUCUCGCUGAGAGAGGGGGCCUCUGUGUCUUAUUCAACACCACUUGUUGCACCUAAAUCCCGGACAACGUGCACUCUUUGACCAUGACCACCGCCCUAGACAAGUUACGACAACUGAGUAAUGCAGAGCAGCAAGACUAUGUCACGAACACAGAGGACUGGCUGACCUGGCUGCUGAGCGGCAGCUGGAAGAUCAAAGGACUUGUCUUGAUAGGAGUUCUUCUUUUAUUGCUUUGCAUGUUCUCAACUUGCAUUCUACCCUGUAUCAGAUCAAUGAUUGACAAAAUGGUACAGGCCACAGUGAUCACCUAUGUUGGACUGCCACAAGAAGAUGAACUGGACGAAGAGGAUUUAGUAUAGGAAAACACAUACACAUACUGAAUGAUGCUACAAUUGAAAAUGUUAUAAGCAAGUGAUUGUUGGCUGAUAAUAAAGUAUGAUUAAGUGUAAAAUAUUAACUUCAGGAGUGAAAUAUAUUUACAACAGGAGGGAAUGUUAUAGAGUUUUUACUGUUUUUUAUUUGAUUAUGCUUCAAAUGUUAUGUUCUGCUUAUGUUCACAUAUUUCACCAGACACAAUGUACCAACUCUGCAGAAACAGGAAGCUCACCCUGUGACAUUAUUAGCACACACACAAACUUCUUGAAACACACACACACACACAGCUUACACACUGACAGCAUCAGGACCUGCAUAACAGGAAAUGUGACCAUAUUUACAUAUUGACAAUGUAACCUAUAAAUAAAGAGCUGUGCCUCGCACUGGGUGUGAUUGCUCUCUGAGUAUUUCACCCGUGCAGCACGUUAAAUAUCU